rnacentral:lncRNA from 1 species
GGUAGUUGAAUCAUGGAGACAGUUACCCCAUGCUGCUGUUCUCAUGAUAGUGAGUGAUUUCUCAGGAGAUCUGAUGGUUUUAUAAGGGGCUUUCCCCACUUUGCUGAGCUCAGCUCUCAUUCUUCUCUUCCUGCCACCAUGUGAAGAAGGACUUGUUUGCUUCCCUUUCCACCACGAUCAUACACCCAUUCACACGCAGAAGCAGUGGUUCAGAGAAACCUUUAAUCACCUCUUUGCAAUUGCCAAUUCUGCAGAAGCUGGAGAUGCUGGUGUUCAUUUGGUAUCAGGGAUAAAGGGAAGUGGAGGCUGGACACUCACUCGGCGAAUAGAAGACCUGUGGGAACUUCAUCCGUCCUUUGACAUCGUGGUCAACUGUUCAGGCCUUGGAAGCAGACAGCUUGCAGGAGACUCAAAGAUUUUCCCUAACAUCUUUUAUUUUUUUCUGAACAUGAAGAACAACUGAUUUCCUUCUUAAAUCUCUGCUUUCAAGUGUCUGGCCUUUGUGGCUGAGUGUCUGCCUGCUGUGUCUGUGACCCAGAGGAACGAGGCUGCUUUGAGCCCUGUCAUUGCCAGCGUGUGCUUCUUCAGCAGGCAAAGGUUAUGCACAAAGUUUUAGGAUUUUUUUUUUAACUUUUGGGAUUUUAUUUGCUUAGGAAGAAAAAAAAAAGUUUAACAGAAAGGCCAUAGCCCAGGUGGACACAGUUGUAUAGAAGAAAGGCUAUUUUUAAAAAUGACAUAUAUUCUUCCUUUUAUUGAAUAAUGCAUUCAAAUCAACUGAUAUUUGAACCGGUUUUUCUCAAUCAAUUAAAAGCUUUUAGAAAAAAGGAAGAAAAGGAUGGUGGAACAUGUGUCCACUGGGAGUUGUAGUUCUUAGAAACCUGUUUCAGGACUUUCGUAACUUGUCAAAUAUUUGAAAUAAAUGUAGCAUUUUUUUUAUUUCUCUCGUUUUUCUUCUUAAGGGUGUGAAUGAUGGAGACACAUUUGAAACCUGCUUCCUCAGGAUAUCAUUCACUCAAGAAAAGCCAAUUGAGAUCUUUAAGUGGUCCC